rnacentral:rRNA from 1 species
UGGGCGUAAAGCGCACGCAGGCGGCCAAGUAAGUCGGGUGUGAAAUCCCGGGGCUCAACCCCGGGCGUGCAUCCGAAACUGCUUGGCUAGAGGUAGGCAGGGGAGAUCGGAAUUCCUGGUGUAGCGGUGAAAUGCGCAGAUAUCAGGAGGAACACCGGUGGCGAAGGCGGAUCUCUGGGCCUUACCUGACGCUCAGGUGCGAAAGCUAGGGGAGCGAACAGGAUUAGAUACCCUGGUAGUCCUAGCCGUAAACGUUGGAUACUACGUGUGGGGGGACAUCGACCCCUUCUGCGCGUAAGCUAACGCAUUAAGUAUCCCGCCUGGGGAGUACGGCCGCAAGGCUAACACUCAAAGGAAUUGACGGGGGCCCGCACAAGCGGCGGAGCAUGUGGCUUAAUUCGACGCAACGCGAAGAACCUUACCUGGACUUGACAUGCAGGGUGAAACCCCAGAAACGGGGCGCUCUUCGGAGCCUGCACAGGUGGUGUAUGGCUGUCGUCAGCUCGUGCCGUGAGGUGUUGCCUUAAGUGGCGCAACGAGCGCAACCCCUAUCCUUAGUUGCCAGCGGGUAAAGCCGGGAACUCUAGGGAGACUGCCGGUGCCAAACCGGAGGAAGGUGGGGACGACGUCAAGUCAUCAUGCCCCUUAUGUCCAGGGCUGCACACAUGCUACAAUGCGUGGCACAAAGGGCUGCGAUCCCGCAAGGGUGAGCGAAUCCCAAAAAACCACGCUCAGUUCGGAUCGGGGUCUGCAACUCGACCCCGUGAAGUUGGAGUCGCUAGUAAUCGCAG